rnacentral:rRNA from 1 species
UACAGAGGGUGCGAGCGUUGUCCGGAAUCACUGGGCGUAAAGGGCGCGUAGGUGGCACGACAAGUCAGUGGUGAAAGCUCGACGCUCAACGUCGAGUCGGCCACUGAUACUGUUGAGCUGGAGCACUGUAGAGGCAGAUGGAAUUCCGGGUGUAGUGGUGAAAUGCGUAGAUAUCGGGAGGAACACCAGUGGCGAAGGCGGCUACCUGGCCCACUCUUGACGCUGAGGCGCGAAAGCGUGGGGAGCGAACAGG